UCUUUGCGGAAGUUGAUGACCGGCGUGUGAAUCUAGAAGAACAUGUAAAGUCUUUAAUAAACCAGAAUGACUCCCUUAACGAAAAGUAUUCGUUGGCAAAGGAUCACCUCAGCAAAUUAAAGGUACAACUUGCUUCUGUGAUGCAGAUGUGCAGCCAGCGUGUGGACAGUACUCAGUUGACCCGACUCAACCAGCAGCUGUGUCAGGCCCAGAGUGAGAUUAUUGAUCUCACUCACCAAAUUCAGAUUCUCAGCGCAAAAAGGAAAGAGGAAGAUGUAAAACAAUGCGCUGCUGCCA